rnacentral:rRNA from 1 species
AGCGAACGCUGGCGGCAGGCCUAACACAUGCAAGUCGAACGAAGUCUUCGGACUUAGUGGCGGACGGGUGAGUAACACGUGGGAACGUGCCUUUAGGUUCGGAAUAACUCAGGGAAACUUGUGCUAAUACCGAAUGUGCCCUUCGGGGGAAAGAUUUAUCGCCUGUAGAGCGGCCCGCGUCUGAUUAGCUAGUUGGGGAGGUAAAGGCUCACCAAGGCGACGAUCAGUAGCUGGUCUGAGAGGAUGAUCAGCCACAUUGGGACUGAGACACGGCCCAAACUCCUGCGGGAGGAAGCAGUGGGGAAUCUUGCGCAAUGGGCGAAAGCCUGACGCAGCCAUGCCGCGUGAAUGAUGAAGGUCUUAGGAUUGUAAAAUUCUAUCACCGGGGACGAUAAUGACGGUACCCGGAGAAGAAGCCCCGGCUAACUUCGUGCCAGCAGCCGCAGUAAUAC